rnacentral:lncRNA from 1 species
AUUCAAUUCAAGCUUUCACAAUGGCCUGCAAGAUAGCACUAGUAGUCGUGUCUCUAUCGGUGUUAGCAUUCUUCCUAUGCCUUGGUAAGUAAAUGGUCCAUGGUUUCACGGUUUUAUGAAAAGUUAUACUCUCUCUCUCUCUCUCUCUCUCUAAUGGGCCCGUUUUGAAAUUUACAUUAGGUACUGCCGAAGCUGACCCGCAGUGCAUGUUCAAGAUCAACCCUUACUAUCAUGGUGGGUGCAAGAUAGAUUCUGAUUCUGAUAACGAGAAAUGUCGAAUUGCUUGUACCAGAUUUGAGGGACCAACGUACAGAUAUGGUGUAUGCUCUAAUGAACUAUGCUUCUGCUCUAACUGUCAAUGAUCAUCGGACACUUCUAUCGGUGGGGGUGCCAUGAAGAUACAUCACCGCCAUGGAAAGAUUAGAGCUCCUAGGAAGAUUGCUUUUUUUAUUGUUGUAUGAGAAUAAAUUGGCGAUGUAUCUAAAUAUACUUUAGCAAGUAUACGUUUCCGAAGAGUUUUGAUGAAGAGUUUCCAAUCGAUUUAAAUUUUUU